AACUUUCGACUAUGGAUCUCUGGGGGAGCGCAUCCCUUCGCGCAAUACGCGCCGCAGGAUUCGAGAGAGUCUUCUGGACGGCACUUUCCUGGCGGAUUUAAGCCUUCCCCCGAGUUCCCUGUCUGUUCGCGAAUUGUUGAAUAUCGAACCACAAUAUGUGCUUGUGCUUCCCAAUCGAGCGGACAAACCGGCUCAUUUGAACAUUGCGGGAAAGCCAAUGUUCGAAGCGCAUCCAGUUCGUCGCGGCCCGCUCAAGGGAGCCCGGAUCGAAAGGCGCACUUCGCUCCAGCAAACAACGCCUAAGGAAUGAGCGGCCGGCGAAGGCGUAGCAGAAGCCGGAGAAGAUUGGGGCAUUUAAGCAUAUCAAUAAGCGGAGGCU
rnacentral:misc_RNA from 1 species